GUACUCGCUUUGGCGGUACAUAAACUAAAACUGGAACGAUACAAAGAAGAUUAGCAUGGCCCUGCGCAAGGAUAACACGCAAAAUCGUGAAGCGUUCAAUAUUUUU
rnacentral:snRNA from 1 species